UGGGGAAUAUUGGACAAUGGGCGCAAGCCUGAUCCAGCCAUGCCGCGUGAGUGAUGAAGGCUCUAGGGUUGUAAAGCUCUUUCAUCGGUGAAGAUAAUGACGGUAACCGGAGAAGAAGCCCCGGCUAACUUCGUGCCAGCAGCCGCGGUAAUACGAAGGGGGCUAGCGUUGUUCGGAUUUACUGGGCGUAAAGCGCACGUAGGCGGACUUUUAAGUCAGGGGUGAAAUCCCGGGGCUCAACCCCGGAACUGCCUUUGAUACUGGAAGUCUUGAGUAUGGUAGAGGUGAGUAGAAUUCCGAGUGUAGAGGUAAAAUUCGUAGAUAUUCGGAGGAACACCAGUGGCGAAGGCGGCUCACAGGACCAUUACUGACACUGAGGUGCGAAAGCGUGAGGAGCAAACAGG
rnacentral:rRNA from 1 species